GUGAAAUUGUUGAAAGGGAAGCGCUUGCAACCAGACUUGCACGCAGUUGAUCAUCCGGUGUUCUCACCGGGGCACUCUGCUGCGUUCAGGCCAGCAUCGGUUUUGGUGGUUGGAUAAAGGCCUUGGGAAUGUGGCUUCCUUCGGGGAGUGUUAUAGCCCUCGGUGCAAUGCAGCCUACCGGGACCGAGGACCGCGCUUCGGCUAGGAUGCUGGCGUAAUGGUUGUAAGCGACCCGUCUUGAAACACGGACCAAGGAGUCUAACAUCUAUGCGAGUGUUUGGGUGUUAAACCCAUACGCGUAAUGAAAGUGAACGGAGGUGAGAACCCUUAAGGGUGCAUCAUCGACCGGUCCUGAUGUCUUCGGAUGGAUCUGAGUAAGAGCAUAGCUGUUGGGACCCGAAAGAUGGUGAACUAUGCGUGAAUAGGGUGAAGCCAGAGGAAACUCUGGUGGAGGCUCGCAGCGGUUCUGACGUGCAAAUCGAUCGUCAAAUUUGCGCAUAGGGGCGAAAGACUUAUCGAACCAUUUCAAAUUGUUCGGGGACCUCCUGAUAACUCUCAGACUACCGCAGCCCGCCCGAAAGGGGGGUGCGCACCGGGUUAACGACCCUGGGGAUGGUAACAACGUCUGGGUAGGGAAGAUCCGCAGCCAAGUCCUACCGCCACUCGGGGCCACGGAU
rnacentral:rRNA from 1 species